UUUCUCUUUUAUAUGUUACCAGAUACUGUAGCUCACUAAGAAAAGCUAACAUAUUGGUCCGUGUAUAGCAGUGAGCAGUUUUUCUGUUUCUUCUCUGGAGAUGCACAAUGAGGGACGUCUGCAGAGACUGAGAAAGAGUCUCACCACAUCCUGACAUGAGGAAAAAGACUUUAUUGAAGACGACAAUGAGAAAAACUAUCAGACAGCAGACGGCUGCAUUCAAGCAUGAGCUUCAUUUCAGUCUGUAGCUGCUGAAUUCAUGGAUGAAUCAUCUGGCACUAGAGAGGAAGACCAUCAAACAUCCACGUCAGCUGAUGGAGGUCCAAGAGUCUCACCUAACAAACAACCUACAGAGUGAAGACCUCCAAUCUGAUUGGACGGCCUCCUAUUCAGCCACGUUUUAGGCUGUUAGAUUGUUCCAGAUAAGACAAGUACAAGAUUCUUCAGAGCCGUUCUACCACGAGCCUGACAGGAAGAACUCCAACAGCUACUGAAUGUUCCUGUGGUUCCCUCAAGGCUACAGGAGGAGUCCUACGAGGAUGAGCCGGUCCACCUGAUGGAGGCCAGUCGCUGCGGUUCAAAGCCAACACAGACUACGUGGACUUCUACUGGACCACAUGGAGGCCUUCAAACCGGACCAACAAGUUCAGAGACUCCCGGACUCGUGGGUCUGAGGACGCCGCCGAGCCUCGGUCCAGCCGGCCUCCUGUCUGUGGAUGUUUGAGUGCUGAGAGGUUUGUGGAUGCAUGUGAAUGUUCUGUGUUGAAACAGCAGCUUUGGACUCAGUAACGCCGGGAAAAACCAAGAGCUCCUUUAUUUGUGACUUCCACUAAAAAAACUGAUGAAAAUAAGUUUACCAGGAUUCUGACUGAUAACAGAUUAUUAAAUAAUGAAAAUAAUAGUUUAAAUAUU
ensembl:lncRNA